rnacentral:lncRNA from 1 species
AAAAGUCAUAGAUACCAUAUCAUUUCAUUUCAAUUUACAAUUUGGUUUUGCAUAAAACAUUUGCAUCAAAGUCAUGGUCAUGGUAGAGAGGGAAUUCCGUUCGAGUUCGCUGAUCGAAGUCAUUUGGAGUGCUCCUAUGACUCGACGUGGUCGUUGCAUCUUGGGAGAUGAUUGCCGGAUAACCAUUAGCACCGAUGCGGGGCAAAUUCAUCUUAAAGACAAAGUGUCCAACACUUGCCUCGGCCAAAAAUCCGUUUGAUCCAAAGAAUUACUUGCUUUCGAUCAUGAGUUGAAAGGGAAGAAUCCAUAUUCAGGUAUUCGGAUUCGAUAAAUUCUUAUUUUGUCUUCUUAAUCCAAUUUCAGUAAGUUGGAAUACGUUUCGAUUUCAUGCAAAUAAACGAUAUGUUUAUUGUGAAUAUAAUAUGCAUAAUUAUCGGUGUAAUUUUUCAACAAUCUUAAGAUGAAUUUUAAGUGGUUUUAUGGUGCAUUUAUAUUCUAAAUUUCGACAAAUAUAUCAUGUGCAUUUUCUGCAAAUUGUUUUGCAUGGAAAUAGUUCAUUUGAAGUGGAAACGGUGUGUCAAUAUGCACGUGUAAAUUGUUAUUAUGCUUCUAUAAGAAUUGGCAUUUAAGUGGAGAGUCAGAAUCCAUGUUUGUGCAUAAUUGUUACAAUUAACAUUGGUUAAUGGAAAUUGGAACAAAGGCAUGAAUUGAUCCUAUUGGUUAUUGAACAAGUGCAUGCGGCAAUUCCAUUAAAAUACAAUUAUGGUGGCCAAGAAUAUACAAUUAAAUGCAUACGUUGCAGUAAUUUGAAAAGGUGACCCAUCAAAAUUUAAGGCAGAAAAUAAUAACGGCAUUUGGUUCAUUCUGUGCCUUUCCAAUUCAUUGAUAGUCACUUUUAUGUUCUUUGAAAGGUUGGGCUCUCAAUUAAUGUCAUUCCAAUUAACUGUGUAUGUGCA